UCCGGUUUGUCACCGGCAGUCCCAUUAGAGUGCUCAACUGAAUGUAGCAACUAGGGACAAGGGUUGCGCUCGUUGCGGGACUUAACCCAACAUCUCACGACACGAGCUGACGACAGCCAUGCAGCACCUGUGUUCCGGUUCCCUUUCGGGCACCCCCGCCUUUCAGCAGGCUUCCGGACAUGUCAAGGGUAGGUAAGGUUGUUCGCGUUGCAUCGAAUUAAUCCACAUCAUCCACCGCUUGUGCGGGUCCCCGUCAAUUCCUUUGAGUUUUAACCUUGCGGCCGUACUCCCCAGGCGGUCGACUUCACGCGUUAGCUUCGGUACCAAGGAAUCGCUUCCCCAACACCUAGUCGACAUCGUUUAGGGCGUGGACUAC
rnacentral:misc_RNA from 1 species